rnacentral:rRNA from 1 species
GGGACGAGAGAGGCAGACGGUAUUUUCGGGGUAGGGGUGAAAUCCUAUAAUCCCGGGAAGACCACCAGUGGCGAAGGCUGUCUGCUAGAACGCGCCCGACGGUGAGGGAUGAAAGCUGGGGGAGCGAACCGGAUUAGAUACCCGGGUAGUCCCAGCUGUAAACGAUGCAGGCUAGGUGUUUGGACGGCCACGUGCCGUUCUAGUGCCGCAGGGAAGCUGUUAAGCCUGCCGCCUGGGGAGUACGAUCGCAAGAUUGAAACUUAAAGGAAUUGGCGGGGGAGCACCACAAGGGGUGAAGCUUGCGGUUUAAUUGGAGUCAACGCCGG